UAGGGAAUCUUCCACAAUGGGCGCAAGCCUGAUGGAGCAACACCGCGUGAGUGAAGAAGGGUUUCGGCUCGUAAAGCUCUGUUGUUAAAGAAGAACACGUAUGAGAGUAACUGUUCAUACGUUGACGGUAUUUAACCAGAAAGUUACGGCUAACUACGUGCCAG
rnacentral:rRNA from 1 species